AUGCCAGCAAACCCUCUUGCUAUACUCGUACUUGUACUUGUUUAUUUUCUUGUUUGGAAAAUGGUUUCUUAUCCUCCUAACAACUUUUCUCUGUCGCUGCAGCGCCCCGGCCGUUCAUUGACACCAUCCUGGGUCGUUCAACAUGACAGUGCCAAGCCGUUCGAUGCCCCUGCUCGGGAGGUGCCCGUCACAGCUUUCCCCACACCUCCUAUUGCAUGUUCAUGCUCCUUCUAUUGUGUACAUUUUGUUCAACAUCUGGUGGUUUUUCAGUUCACCAUAGAUGUGCAUUUUCAGCUUCAUCUUGCAGGUAUGAUCAUUCUCUGGCCUGCUAAUGUCUUUUGCAGUAACUUUGUACACAAAAUGAUAUAA
rnacentral:rRNA from 1 species